rnacentral:rRNA from 1 species
AGUAGUUUCGAUCCUGGCUCAGGACGAACGCUGGCGGCGUGCUUAACACAUGCAAGUCGAACGGAAAGGCCUGCCACCUUGGUGGUGGGUACUCGAGUGGCGAACGGGUGAGUAACACGUGGGUGAUCUGCCCCGCACUGUGGGAUAAGCCUGGGAAACUGGGUCUAAUACCACAUACGACCAUGGCGUAGGGGUCAUGGUGGAAAGCUUUUGCGGUGUGGGAUGAGCCCGCGGCCUAUCAGCUUGUUGGUGGGGUAAUGGCCUACCAAGGCGGCGACGGGUAGCCGGCCUGAGAGGGUGGACGGCCACAUUGGGACUGAGACACGGCCCAGACUCCUACGGGAGGCAGCAGUGGGGAAUAUUGCACAAUGGGCGCAAGCCUGAUGCAGCGACGCCGCGUGGGGGAUGGAAGGCCUUCGGGUUGUAAACUCCUUUCGCCCGGGACGAAGCCCACCUUGGUGGGUGACAGUACCGUGGAGAAGAAGCACCGGCUAACUACGUG